rnacentral:lncRNA from 1 species
AUUCUACUGACUCCAAGUUCACGCAGCUGUUCAUCCCCUGCUUAAUGUACUGGUAAUUACAGCAAUGUGCUCUUCUCUUUCCAAUCAUGUAACUUUUACUAAUGGAAAAUGAUUUGUUUUUAACAACUUCCAUGCAUUUCUUUCUCGUUUUAAUAAGAAAGGGUGUCUUGUGGCAUUGAGCUAUUGAAUUCUCUAUAAAAAACAAAAGUCUCUAUAUGAGUUUCCAGCUCCAUAGGAGGGCUCUGUGGGAUUGGCCAAAGGUGGUGGGGAGACUUAAGUGAGUGUAACUAACUUGAUAUGAAUAGGUCAGUUGGGAAACAAAGCAAGCUCAUCGCCUUCUGAUCAUGGAGGUGGUGAAAUAACAUUUUUUAAAAAUGUGAAACCGGGAAGGAUCAGAAGUAUGAAUUGAGUUCUGCUUUCAUGAUCCAAACUCUAUGUACUCUCAGAGAAUUUUUAAAACAAAUAUCUGAAGAGGUUUUCACUUAUUUUCAUUCAAUGUUUCAGAGCAUGUAAAUGUUCUCCUUUGAUGAGAAAUGUUGAUGAUUUGGGUUGGGUGGGGGUUGAAAUGAUUAUAGCAAGUGCGUCUUUUGCUGUAGCCAUGCUAAGCUACCAGGCACAGAUCAAACAGGCAUGUGGUCACAUGAUCGUUUUAUUUGCAGAUAAAAUACAGACACCUUGGAAUUUCCUUCCUUAUAUCCCCUAAAUGGCACUGGAAAUCACUCUAAAAGGAUAAUUUUUAAAGCAAAACUUUUCCAACUCAUUAGAGGAUUUCAGUUUUAGACUUUUAUUUUAAAUAAGUGGUUGAGUAGCAGUUGUAACAAAGAAUGCCAAGUCACACCCUUGUGUGUGGAUGGAAAUACUGCUACACAACACACAUAGCUAAUUUUAUCAGAAGGAUGAUAGCAAAAGGAAUGUCUUCUCUACAUGAAAACUCAAAAGUCAAGAGCAUUGACGAGAUGACAAACCAUGAUUGCGAAGCCUAUUUGCCACAUCUUGACAUUUUAAAGAUUCAUAUAAUUCAAGAUUUAGCUAAAAUUGUAAAAUACAUAUCCUGAGCUCAAAAUUCUUUGAUGUUAACAUGUAUCCAUAUCUUUUAAAGACAUUAAUUUUAUUCCUUGUGCAUUUCUUUUCUUCUAUUCGUGGUUAAUAAUGACAUGGCAGCCGGAAAUCACCUAUCUUCUCCUCAGCCCUUCUUAUCUAGCUCCCUCCAGAAGUCUUGUUUUUUCUUAGAGAUUUCUUUGGAAAUGUUAUUAAGCUAGAGUGAAGUAAUUUUUAAAAACACACAUUGAAACUUAGAACUGAAUAAUUUUUAAAUAUUUGUAAUAACUUUAGCAAAACCAUUGCUUUCCUCAAGAACCACAAGACCACACCAGCAGCAAAGAGGCACUAUUGUUCCCCUGGAGUCUUGAGAAGCUCCUCGUGUGACAAACUCCAGCAAAGGGGGUCUGUGCUUCGCUCCUCCAUAAAUGCAACACCAAGUCUAGAUCUGAUUUUGCCCUCUAGGAAUUCUUGUGCCUUGCUUUAUGCAAAGCAAAAAUUAUGUUUAAUAUUUUAAAACUAGCUUCAGGAAUUAGGAUCUUCAGAGUUAGUGGUCUGACUCUAGUCAUGUGCAUGUCUUACAUCAUCUUCUAUUUUUUCAGAUGGUUGCAUCAGUAGCUUUGGGAAUAUUUUAUUUUUAAAGUUUUAAGUCAUUCUGAUAUCCACGAGACCAUCAAAAAUAUAACUAUGAUCUAAUGAAUGCCCAAAUAAGUGGUUGCAUAAAUAACAACUACUUAUCAUGUUCACUUUCCCCGUUAUUCAUUUAUUCAUUCAGUAUUAAUUGAACAACUCGUAUGUGCCAGGCAUAUUCCAGGGACCAAGGAUUCAGUAGUGAAUACAAAAUCGUAGCUUUAUAAAGGUAGUAGUUCAGUAAGAGGAGAUAAACAAAUAAAAUAUAUAAGUAAAAAAAAGUUAAAUAGCAAUGAGCUCUAAGGAUAAAAAGCACUGUAAAGGGACAGAAUAUGAUGACAGAGUUUCAAUUUUACAUGGAGUAAAAGAGAAGACCUCAAUAUGUGACUUUUGAGCACACAAGGGAAGGAAGUAAGAUAAAAGCUUUGUAGAUAUUUGAGGGAAAAACUGUCCAAGCAAAGAGUACAGCAAGAGCAAAGGUCCUAGGGAUCGUGAAUGUAGAGUGUUCAAGAGUACCAAGGAGGUCAGUGUGCCCGGAGUACAGAUAGUAGGAGAUAAGUUUAGAGAAGUGAAGGAAGCCAGAUCUUACAAAGCCAUAGUUUAUUAUAAGGACUUUGGCUUUUACUUUGAGAUGGGGGAGGCUGCUAGGGAUUUUUGAACAGAAAAAUGACAGAAUCUUGUAUAACUUUUAACAAAAUAAUCCUGGCUGUUAUGUUGAGAGUUGAUUUAAGGGCGGCAAGGGAAGAAGCAGGGAGACAGUUUAGAAGGCUAUUAUAAUAAGCCAGGCAACGGGACAAAGGGUAAAGGUGGAGAGAGUAGAUAUAAAUGGACUUCCUAUUAUAUAGCAGGCACUAUGUUAGGCUUUGUUGAUACAUCAGGGGGAAAACAGAGGCUCUGUUCCCAGGGCCUUUGCAUUCUACUGAGAGGAGCCAGGCAAUCAACAAAUAAGCCAGUGCAUACAUAAAAUAUCAGGUGAUGAUAAGUUAUAUGGAGAGAAACCCUAACCUGUUCCAAAGUUCAUUAUGGCAAACACCUAGAAACAAACACAGUCCUAUAUAGUGGGGGCUGGAGAAGAAAAGUGUGGCAUAUUCAAAGAGAGACUAUUACGUAGCAAUGAAAAUGAAUGACUUUAACUACAUGCAACAUUGCAGAUGGAUCAUAGCAAUAUAAUAGGAAUACAAAAUAAGUUAUUAUAUAUUUAAAACAUUACAUUUUUCAUAAAGCCAAACACACGCAACCCAAACUAAUACUUUUAAAGAAAUACAAAUAGAUGUGUGAACAUAUAUCAAAUGAAGUCAGGAACAUUGUUAAUACAAGAUUUGGGGUAGUAGUUGUCUUGAAUGAGGAGUGGCAAAGAAAUUCUUGGGAUACUCACAUGGGUUUCUGUGAGUGUUCUAGCUUCAUGUUGGGUGUUGGGUUAUUGGAUUUAAUUAUAUUAUUUGCAGGGAAGGAAGAAUGGAAGGAAGGAAGGAAGGGAGGGAGGGAGGAAAGAAGGAAGGAAGGAAGGGAGGGAGGAAAGAAGGAAGGAAGGGAGGGAGGAGGGAGUGAGGAAGGGAGAGAGGGAGGGAGGAAAGAAGGAAAAAAGGAAGGAAGGGAGGGUGGGAAUUUUACAGGGUUAACCACUAUGGAUAAUAAUUCAUCUAAUUGUGUUUCCCUGUGGUGUAGGGUUGGGAAAAGUUAUGGAGUAUUUGCUUUUAUAUAUAUAAAUUUGCCAGGGAAAUCCUGUCUAAGGAAAUGACAUUUGAGCAGAAGCAUGAAUGGAUUGGAGAAGUGGUUGGAGGAACAAGGAGAAACUCCUGGCUGGAGUGGAGUGAGCAAAAAGAAAGCAGCAGGAGGUGAAGUCAGGGAGAGCAGGAACAGGUCAUCUUGACCUUUAUAAGCUGUGAGGAACUCUGACUUAUACUCCAGUGGACACUAAAAACAACUGAGAGGUUCUGACCAGAGGAGUAACAUUAUCUGCUGUAAAUGUUAAAAGGAUUGUUCCUGCUGCAGUGUGGGAAUACACCAGGGUUUCUCUGCACAACUGACAUUUUGGACUGGAUGAUUCCUUGUUGUAACAGAGAUUCCUCUGCAUUGUAGGAUGUUUACCAGCACCCCUGGCUUCUCCCUAAUAAAGCUAUAAUGUCACCCCCUACCCCCUAGUUAUGACAACAAAAACUGUCUCCAGACAUUGCCAAAUGGGGGGCAAAGUCAUUCUGCUUGAGCACCACUGGAAUGUGCUAAAGGUGGCAAAAGACAGAAUCAGGGAGAGGGGGUAGGAGGAUGUUGCUGCAUCCACCAGAAACAAUGGCUGGGACUAGGGCAGAAAGGCUCUCUUUUCUAAACACACGUAUUCAUAGCUUGGGUCUGUAGCCCCAUGGCUGGAAUCUCUACAAUUUGAGGAUAUUCAGAAAUUCCCAACGAUGAGUUGUUAAAUAUUCAUUUACACUCAUAUAUUUCCCAAGUGCUAUAGAAAUGGGGUACAUUUGAGCAUGAAAUAAUCCAUAUGGUUAUUCCUUAAGGACUAGAUCCAAAUUGUCCACUUCUUUACCUCUUGGCUUUGUCCAAGCUGACAACUGAUUCUUUGAUUUGCAUCCAGGUGAGUUCCUUGAAGCCCUGAACCGAGGACUUCUUGUGUACUUUAACAUUUGUUAUAUCUGAAGAUAUUCUGAUUGGCAACAUUUUUAACAUAGAGAACUGUUUAAAGAAAAUACCGCCAGCACACAACUCAUCCACAAAUUGCUGUUUUUGAAAAAGAUGGAGAGGCUGUGACUGAGAUCAUCAGAGAACCAGCCCGGCACCCCAAACAUAAUAGGGCAAAGGAGUCAGAUGAGAAUUUUGUUCAGUAUGAGACACUGGACAACAAGACAGGACCCUUGACCUCAGAAAUGCAGGAAUUCAGGAAUAUUAUAGAACAUGAAGUAGCAGAGCCGUGGAGGAGAAUUUAUAGCACUAAUCUUGAGCACUUUCCCCCGAGGACUCUGCGCUGUUUUCACAAAGGCCUCUCGGAAUGCCAGGCUGUGAAAGGUAGAAAUGUAAACACGGGGACAGGAGUGUCCUUCAGUCUAAAGAGUGAGCCACGCAGGUUUCUAGUUGCCAGCAUUCCAGUAGUGGUACUGGGAAAUGGUUUUAUAGGAUAAACAAAUCACCCAAAUGCAGAAAAUGCAAUUCCACUGAAGCAAAUCCAACUUCCUUUCCUGACGGAGAAUGUAAUUAAAUCCUGCUUCAGGAGGACGGUUUAUAUCCUCUGCUGCUGGGGGUCUCGGCUCAUGCUCAUCGCUGGUGUUUACAAGAUGACAUUACCUGCCUCCUGUGACAUGCUGAGGCAGCCCUGACUUUGAAGAUGGGGCGGUGGUGCAUGUGAGGGAAGGGGGAUGAGUGAGGCUGUGUUUCAUUUGCAGAGCUUGGCUGUUCAUCUCUCACAUUCACAUCUGACACCAGAAGCCCACACCAUGCUUGGCUUUUCCAAAACAGUGAUUCUAAUGUAACACCCUAAUAAGCUGUGUUAACUCACCUUUCAGAAGGAGGCUGGGGGGACAUACAUCACAACAAGUUGAGAGGAAGGGGUGAUUGUAACAAUAUUAAAUAUAAUUAUCACCAGCAGAAGUUCUAUGAGAUGAAGUGAAUGAAUCACAGCUCAUGAUGUCUUCAAAAUACAAUUAAAAGUGCAAUUUUACUUUAUUUAUUUAGUUAUUCCUUGUAUUUUAAAAGUUGAGUCACUGGCAGUAAUCUCAUCAUGUCCUAAAUUAAAAAAAUCUAAGAGGUUCAUGAAUUUGCUACUCAUUUUUGGUCCUGCAGUCACUUUGUAACACACAAUCUCUAUUUGGAACAUAGAAUGUCCUGUCCAAGAUAUUAAUCAAAACUCAAGCUUGUUGUGAUAUCAACUAUCACAUCUUCUCCCUUCUCAGUUUGGAUCUGCUUCUCCCUGGAAAUAGACAAAGGGAAAGGGCUGUGGGAGUAGAGCUUGAGAGGCACCUGAUUUCCUUUCUAUCUUUUACACUGUGAUCCUUAUCCUCCCUCUAACAGCAGCUCACCAGACAGUGUCUGUCAUUCAGAUCCUGGCAGCGGGGAGACAGAGGAAAAGCCUUAUUUGAACUGGACCUUCCUUAUCAGGCUUCUCAUUUUCAGGGUUCAACAGAUGGCUAAGGUUGAUGUUUCUGCUCGAGAGUCAUCUUCAUGGAUUUGCAGAAGACCCCACUCCUGAAAUCCCUUUCACCUGGGCCGAUGCAUCUAAUUAUGAUGGUAGAUUGAAAGCUUUUCAGCUCCCAGGGACACAGCAUUCAUUUCCAUCUUCUCCUGUGGGGAUCCCUGGCCCAUCUAGUUGGAUUUCUUAGAAGGACUUAAGGGCUCUACAUUGGUUCUCUCUCCCACAUAAAACAAGGAAGGGAGCAUAUUUGCUCCUUUAUUCCAGCACUCUGAAGUGCAGGCAGGCCCUCCCCAAGGCAGUGACCCCUACCCCUCUACCUGAAGCCACUAUGCCUUUGGCAGUCAUGAGUCAAGCUGAGCCCAUAUUUCCCACACAUUCCAUGGCCCUCUGAAUCAUUACGUAGUCACUCCUCACUAGACUUGGGAUGGAAUGGGGUACCACUACCUGUGGAAGAAGAAUGACACCAUGGCCAGUAACAGCUCUCUCCCAAGGCAUCUCUCCACUGUGCUCUCUUUCCCUCUCCUCUGUAAAUACUUUUAUAGCCUUGAAAAAAAGGAGGAGACAUAAGAAUUAUGCAAUAGUUUUUUUUUAACCUUUGUAAAAUCUGUUUAUAGUAAACUCUCUCAUACACAUCUUGUUAUCUGAUGUUAAUUAUUGGAACCUCAUUCAAAGCUAUGUUAGAAAGAGCCCCAUUUAAGCUUCUCUUAAAUUUAUAAAAGAAAAUUGUUCAUAAAUUAAAUUAUAAGGAAAAGAAAGUUGAUUUUCUAUAUUCUUCCAUGUUUGAUCUUUCCACAUGGUCAUGGAAACCACCUCACGCCUCUUAAUUUUUUAGUUCUUUUGACAGAAAACACAGAAACUAUGGUUCCCAACACCAUAGGGCAGUACUACCACAGUCUCCACCACCUCAAGCAAUAGACUUUCCAACCUCUUCUCUCCAUUAAACUUCUCUAUUACCAGACUCUUACUAAAUUAUCUUACUAAAGAUAGUUUUUGAAUGUCUCUCUUGUGCUAAGAAUUGUAGAGUUCUGGUGGCAGAAGAUGACAGAGAGUUUUUUUUCUUUUUGUCCUAGAAGAAUUUAUAGUUUAUUCUAGUUCUUUCCAUUGGAAUCUGAAACAAUAUACAAAAACAGUGCAAUAGUUUUUUUCAAUACAUUUUGAUCAAUGUGGAAAUACAUUUUUGUAACAGUUGAGGAUUCAUACUGUAUAUUAUAACGUUGGUCAGAAUAACUGAGUCUGAUGAUUGAGUUGGGAGACGCAUGGUGGGGCACGGAAGAAUGUGCCCCUUUAGGUCAGAGGUAAGCUGGUGCCACCAAAAGGAACUUUGUUUAUCACAAUCCACUAGAACUUUUAAUUUCUUUGUGUUUGUAUUUUCUUUCAUAGGACAAGGUCAGGGAAAUAAGCAUUUCUACUCAAACUCCCAAAUAGUACUGAAAGAAUACCAAAUGAAUAGGACUAUAAUGGUAUAUUUUAAACAUUUUUUUCAAAAGAAUUGGCAUUUACCUUUUAACUCCUUCAAUGUCACCCUAAGCUCUAGUGCUAGUAACUCAGAAAAUUUAACAACCACUGAUCCAUUCACUAUUAAAGAAAAUGUUAUAAACUCAUUUGGACUGAGGUGUUAAUUGUUAUUUUUAAGGUUAAUGGUUAUUAGUUGUUCUUGAUCUUCUAGGAUAACAUUUGCAUUUUAGGCUUUAAAAAAAAUCCCAAAUGUCCUUAAACCUGAAGGACUUGGUUAGAUAAAUAUUUUGGGGAAUGAUGGCAAAGCCUGCUGUGGCAAUUUUUUGAUAGGGUGAAUACCAGUACUGGCUGAUCCUCCCACUCAAGAAACACACUUAAAUCCAGUGUUGGCUUUGGGAAUGCUGAGAAAACAUUGGCUUUGGGAAUAGAGAAAGAAAACAUCAGUAGAAAAAUGAAAAACAGAAGUGAUUUGAAGGACAGCUUUAGGCUUCACCAUAUUCUGUACCCAUUAAAUAACUCCCCAUUUUUCCCUACUCCCAGUCCCUGACAACCACCAUUUUAAUUUCUAUUUUUAUGAAUUUGACUAAUCUAGAUAACUUCAUGUAAUUAAAAUCAUACAACUUUUACCUUUUUGUGAUUGUCUUAUUUUAUUUAGCAUAAUGUCAUUAAGAUAUAUCCAUGUUUAACCCAUGCCAGAAUUUUCUUCCUUUUUAAGGCUGAAUAGUAUUUCGUUAUGUGUAUACACCACAUUUUGUUUAUUCAUUCAGCUAUGGAUAGAAACUUGGGUUGCUUUUAUUUUUCGCUAUUGUAGACAGUGCUGCCGUGAGCAUGGGUAUGCAAAUAUCUCUUCAGGAUCCUGCUUUCAAUUCUUCUGGAUAAAUAUAAAGAAGUGAGAUUGCUGGAUCACAUGACAAUUCUACUUUUUAUUUUUUGAGGAACUUCCAUACUGUUUUUCACAGUGUCUGCACAAUUUUACAUUCCCACCAACAGUGUACAAAGGUGUCAAUUUCUCUGCAUCCUCACCAGCACUGGUUAUUUUCUGGGUUUUUUUUUUUUUCUUUUUGAUAGUUGCCAUUUUCAUGGGUGGGAGUGAUAUCUCAUUGUGGUUUAGAUUUGCAUUUCUCUAAUGAUUAAUGAUGUUGAGUAUCUUUUCAUAUGUUUGUUGAUCAUUUGCAUAUCCUCUUUGGAGAAAUGUUUAUUCUUUUGCCCAUUUUAAAAUCAAGUUUCAAUGCUUCCUGCUAUUUAUUUUAAAUGUGCUUUACAAGUUAGAACUUGUGAAUUUUGACCAGCAUGAUGUAAUGCCACUCAGCAUGGCUUUUCAGGCUGGUGUCGGGCUGGUAGAAGGAUGAGUUAGAAUGAGCAAGGCCAAAACUCAGAGUUCAGACAGGGGCAGGGGAAGAUAGAUAGUCCAGAGAGAAUCAUUCCUUUCUUCCUUCAUGCAAACACACGUGCAAAUAGCAAGGAUUUGUUCCAUGCUGCCAUGUGCUAGGCACUGAGCUAGAGAUAUGAAAAGGGACACAAAGUGGGACAGGAUACCUUUGGGGUUUGGAAGGUAGAAUCUGCACUUAGACUGCUUGGGUGUGAAUUUUAGCUGCAGUAUCUGCAGCGUGUGGACAUAUUUUGACUGGGUUACAUCAUAAAGAGCUUUUAUCUCAUGCUAAGGGCUUACUUGUAAAGCUGUAAGACUGGGACCCAUUGAAGGGUUUUAGGUAUUACAAGCUUCAAAGAAAAACAAAUGAAAUAAUCUAAACUUUUAAGGAAACUAUCAUAGAAAGACAGAUUUAGAAAACAGAAAGGGGAAUAAAAUCCCCCUAAAAGCAAGGGCUGUAAUGGACACAAUUAAAUGCUAGGGUCUUGGUUCUAUAGUUCUAUAGUUGACUAGUUAUAUGACCUGACAAAGUCAUUUUAACUCUCUGGCCCAAGGUUUUCUUAUAUAUAAAACAGGGAUAAUGCCUUACAAAACUUAAAAAAAAUAAUUAACUAAGAAGAUGUACUCAAAAGUGUAUUGCAAGGGUUUCUUUUUUAAUUUUUCUUUCUUUUUUUUUUUUUUUUUUUUUUGGCACACAGGAGCAGUAUGCUGUGUUUUAAAGGACAUUUUAAAAAUUGGCUUGGUUUCCUCUACUCACACCAUUUUAGCCCCCGCAUUUGGGGCUAUUUCACCCUCAUUUGCAAGCUUAGACCCGAGCCAGGGUCUGAGAUUCAUCAGGCUCCAACCCAUGCCAGUUUAGUUUUUUUCUGAUGUUUUUCUUUUUUUUCCCCCCAGAAAUUUGGCUAUUAUACUUUAAAAAAAAAAAAAAAUCUUGCUUAGACUGUUUGCUCCCCUAUUUUCUUCUUCCCUUUCCCCUCAGCAUCAUGUAUUGGAAAAAAGGUGAAAGUCUGGAUUAAUGAAUCCAAAAAUUAAUGUUACCUUGUAUUUUUACCUGUAUUGUUACUUGUAUUUUUCUAAGGCACCAUAAUCACACUACAAAGAGGUGAAGACACACAACACUACAGUGAAGGAUAGAAUGCUAGUUCCAGUUUGAUUUUCAUUAUUUUUCAAGAUUUUCUUUGGCGCUGAGUAUUCUGUUGAAAAUUUUUUUACACUGAAAUAUCAGGAGAUAGAGUUUUAGGAGAAUACACAACCAGGUGUAUGCCCUGGACAGUCUAUCUCAGAAACACAAAUGUUUUGUUCUUUCCAGAAGGGAAAGAAGAGAGCAGCAACUGGCCACCUGGCACUCCUGCAACUCCUCUCUGAUCAGGAAGGAAACUGCCUGGGCUCCUGUGGAAAAUUAGCUUAUUCUCAUGGCUUUGGAAUAUGUUUCUCCAUUCAUUAAGAAUAUCUUUCUAUCAGAAUGGGCUAGGGGAGAAGCAAGAGAGAAAUUUACUUUUUGAUCUAGAGAUCAAAAACUGAAAAGCCUUUGUUUGUUUGUUUGUUUUUAUAAGAAAGAAUAGCAGAACAGAAUUAGAAUGUAGAUUUGAAGAAACAUAAGGAAAAAUAAAUCCAUGAUUAUGUGAAUUGAUUAAUGUAUUGUGUGUUUCUUUGACUAUUUUAAUUAUUAAUAUAUAAAUAUAAAUCAGGCUGCGGAAGACUAGGAGGAAGAUUAUGUGCUUCCUGAUCAAAUUAUAGCCCCAGCACAUGGCACAGUGGCUAUAGUAGAUAUUCAAUAAACACUUGUUAAAUGAAAGAAGGUAAGGAGAAGGAAGAAAGGAAUGAAAUACAUAGGGAAGGCGAAAAGGAGGGAGUGAUCAAAGAAGGCAAGAAGGAACAUAUACAACUGACGUGUGAUUUCUCUGUUGAAACUGACAAGGGUACAAUUGCAUUAUUUACCUUGUUCAAUAAAAUAAAUCUGAAGAUUUUCACAAACAAUGUUGUGGAGUGAGCAUUCCAUAUUCUUAUCUAUAAUAAACAACAGGGAUGAAGUGAACAUUUGAGGGAGAACCUUGGUAAUGAAUUAUUAGAUAAAUUAUUUCAUGCAGUUUCCAUUCACUUUUCAAAAACAAAGAGAUUGGAUUAGAAUCAUCCAUUCACAUUGACAUUCAUCAAUAAAGUUAUAGAUGACUCAGCAAUUAUCUAACCCAAAGCCUUAAUUGAAGAUGCAGCUGUCUGGAAAUAUUCUCCCCCGCUACUUCCAAAAUACCUCCUUUAAAUUUGAAUUGUGGAAUGUUUCUUUAUUGGAAAAAUAAGAGCUAACAUUUAUUCAGUGUUGACAAUGUGGUGUGAACACCUAUUCUAAUCACAUAGACACACACACAUAAAAUCCUUUAAUUUUCACUAGAACUCAAGAUAUGAUAGAUAUUAUCAUAGAGCCCAGUUUUACAGAUGAAGAAACUGAAGAAUGGAGAGGUUAAGUAACCUGCUUAGUAGAAGCAGAAUUCAAGUUCAGACCAACUGACUCCAGAGGCUGUGCUUAUAUCUACUGUGUCUCAUUGUACUUUCUGCUUAUAUUUUAAGUCUUUAUGUGCAUGGUUUGUUUUUGCUUCUAGUACAGUGGUUCUCAACUAGGGGAUUGUUAGCAAAUCUGGAGAUAUUUUUGAGGUGCAAGAAAUGUGGUGGAACAUUCUAGAAUGCACAGGACAGUGUACCACAACAAAGAAUUAUCUAGCCAGAGGUUGAGAAACCUUGUUGCAGAGUAUUAGACACUAAAGGACAAGAAUUAUGCCUUACUUACAUUUGUAUAGCAUUUGGAACAGAGUUGGCUGAAAAUUAAUAUUUGUCCAUGAAAAACUUAAGUUACCUAGUCUGUUAAAAGGAAGGAGUUUUACAUAAUAAUCAAUAAGGUACUACUGAACUCUAACUCAGCAAAUUAAUGUCUGUGUCCUGGAAACAUACAGUUUACCUAUUGAGGCCAAGGUACUGGUUUUUCCUGCCUCUUAACUGUAUGAUGCUAUGUUAUGAAAUUAUAUAGAUUAAAAGCAAAAGAGUAUAGGUGAGUAUCAUUAGAAAAAAAGGUAAGUAAGCAUACAAAAUAUAGUUUUUAUUUAAUGAAUAUGAGAAACAGAUGGAAAAGUGAUAUUACUCACCUUAAGAAUUUACCAGCUGCAAGGAAAGUAUAAUUUAUACAAAAUUUUGGAAUGAAUGAGUUUUAUACCUAACAUCAUUAGGC